GAUGAACGCUAGCGGCAGGCCUAAUACAUGCAAGUCGAACGGUGUCUUCGGACAUAGUGGCGCACGGGUGCGUAACACGUAUGCAACCUACCUUACAUUGGGGGAUAGCCUUUCGAAAGGGAGAUUAAUACCGCAUAAGACAGUAGCUGGGCAUCCAGCAGCUGUUAAAGAUUUAUCGAUGUAAGCUGGGCAUGCGUCCAAUUAGUUAGUUGGUGAGGCAACGGCUCACCAAGACGAUGAUUGGUAGGGGAACUGAGAGGUCAAUCCCCCACACUGGCGCUGAGAUACGAGCCAGACUCCUACGGGAGGCAGCAGUAGGGAAUAUUGGGCAAUGGACGCAAGUCUGACCCAGCCAUGCCGCGUGCAGGAAGAAGGCGUUCUGCGUUGUAAACUGCUUUUAUAUAGGAAGAAACGACCCUUGCGAGGGGCAUUGACGGUAUUAUAUGAAUAAGCACCGGCUAACUCCGUGCCAGCCGCCGCCGUAAUAC
rnacentral:rRNA from 1 species